rnacentral:rRNA from 1 species
UACGGGGGGAGCAAGCGUUGUUCGGAUUUACUGGGCGUAAAGGGCGCGUAGGCGGCCAGCACAAGUCAGUUGUGAAAUCUCCGAGCUUAACUCGGAAAGGUCAACUGAUACUGUGCGGCUAGAGUGCGGAAGGGGCAACUGGAAUUCUUGGUGUAGCGGUGAAAUGCGUAGAUAUCAAGAGGAACACCGGUGGCGAAGGCGGGUCUCUGGGCCGAUAUUGACGCUGAGGAGCGAAAGCGUGGGGAGCGAACAGG